GAAUCAUCAAGAAAUGCCAUUAUCCAAAUCAUGAAUGAAAAACUGAUUAGAACUGUGACCAGAACUUUUCUAUAAAAAGCUAAAAUGGUUUGAUAUCAAAAAGGACAAUUAUCUCUGUAAUUCUAAGUGACAGGUCUGAGCUAGACAAGACAUUGUAGAAACAGUUCUUCAAUGAAUGAGGUGAUAGGACCUCAUAAACCUUAAUUCAACAAGUAUUCACUGUACCAUCGUGAUGAAAGAGGAUCUCGGUUUGUAGUUACAGUUUAUAGCUGCUUCAACAGCCACAUCAACAGAUGGCAACAUCCAAGGAAAUUUCACCAUUUGUCUGAAAACAAACACUGA
rnacentral:lncRNA from 1 species